rnacentral:rRNA from 1 species
AUUGAACGCUGGCGGCAUGCCUUACACAUGCAAGUCGAACGGUAACAGGUCUUCGGAUGCUGACGAGUGGCGAACGGGUGAGUAAUGCAUCGGAACGUGCCCAGUAGUGGGGGAUAGCCCGGCGAAAGCCGGAUUAAUACCGCAUACGACCUGAGGGUGAAAGGGGGGGAUCGCAAGACCUCUCGCUAUUGGAGCGGCCGAUGUCAGAUUAGCCAGUUGGUGGGGUAAUGGCCUACCAAGGCAACGAUCUGUAGUUGGUCUGAGAGGACGACCAGCCACACUGGGACUGAGACACGGCCCAGACUCCUACGGGAGUCAGCAGUGGGGAAUUUUGGACAAUGGGCGCAAGCCUGAUCCAGCAAUGCCGCGUGCAGGAAGAAGGCCUUCGGGUUGUAAACUGCUUUUGUCAGGGAAGAAAUCUUCUGGGUUAAUACCUCGGGAGGAUGACGGUACCUGAAGAAUAAGCACCGGCUAACUACGUGCCAGCAGCCGCCGUAAUAC